CAGGACUCUAGGGGUUGUAUCAGAAGUGGUAUAGGACAGGACUCUAGGGGUUGUAUCAGAAGUGGUAUAGGACAGGUUUAAGGACAGGACUCUAGGUGUUGUAUCAGAAGUGGUAUAGGACAGGACUCUAGGGGUUGUAUCAGAAGUGGUAUAGGACAGGUUUAAGGACAGGACUCUAGGUGUUGUAUCAGAAGUGGUAUAGGACAGGACUCUAGGUGUUGUAUCAGAAGUGGUAUAGGACAGGACUCUAGGUGUUGUAUCAGAAGUGGUAUAGGACAGGACUCUAGGGGUUGUAUCAGAAGUGGUAUAGGACAGGUUUAAGGACAGGACUCUAGGUGUUGUAUCAGAAGUGGUAUAGGACAGGACUCUAGGUGUUGUAUCAGAAGUGGUAUAGGACAGGACUCUAGGGGUUGUAUCAGAAGUGGUAUAGGACAGGACUCUAGGGGUUGUAUCAGAAGUGGUAUAGGACAGGACUCUAGGUGUUGUAUCAGAAGUGGUAUAGGACAGGUUUAAGGACAGGACUAGGGGUUGUAUCAGAAGUGGUAUAGGACAGGACUCUAGGGGUUGUAUCAGA